rnacentral:lncRNA from 1 species
GUGAUAGGAACCGCUGAUCCUGUAAACGUUGUGAGCAAAUUGAGAAAGUAUUGGCCGACGACAGAUAUAAUAUUAGUUGGGCCAGCAAAGGAGCCGGAGAAGCCAAAGGAGGAGCCAAAGAAGGAAGAGCCGAAGAAGGAAGAGGAAGCUAAGAAAGAAGAGCCAAAGAAAGAAGAAGAAGCUAAGAAAGAAGAGCCCAAAAAAGAAGAACCCAAGAAAGAAGAAGAAAAGAAAGAGGAAGAGAAAAAGAAAGAAGCGGCACCGGCACCGGUACCACCACCGGAUCCUGUUUUAGAGCUUGUUAAAGCUUACAGAGCUUAUAAUCCUCACUUGACCACUCAUUACCAUGUUCAAAGCAUUGAGGAGAAUCCAAACGCUUGUGUUAUUUGUUAAUUUCUCAACAGAAACUAAAGACAUUUUGCUAAGUUGGUGACUUGAUUUGAAUGUCAUCAAUUCUUAUAGUAAGCAGGCAACAUCAAGAUAUCAAGGCAAUAUCAAGAAAUCAAACUUGUGUAUAUAAAAAGUGCUGCUUCCUUUGUUUCUUUCCAUGUAUGAGUGAGUAAUUGAACUGUAGAAAAAAUAAAUAAAACUUUUUGAAUUUUGUUUCUGUCCAUCAUCAAUUUUUUUCCUCUUCCUUUUUUUUUUUUUUUGGGUUUGUUAUAUUCAUUAUAUACAUCAGAGGAUCAAAGUAGAUGAAGAUUUAGCCUCGGAUUAGGGUUCAUUUCUAGUGGCAUUUUUCUUAUUUUUGCUAAGCUAAAACUGAUUAUUAUGUGCUUAAAUAAUUAAGCUUAAAAAAUUAUGACAGAUCACCUCAUUCAAUAAAUAAGCUUCUCUGAUCACAAUUGACAACUUGUUAGUUAGUACCCAAAAUUUGGGCCGUUCCGUAAAUUUCCCAGAGUCAAUAAUAAAAUCACGGGCUGAAAAUUCAUUGUGGGUCACAUUGAAGCUUUUGGUUUCAGAACUCCGAGGGUAUAUUUCAUCGAAUUACUUGAUGUUGUACUCGGAACUGCAGGGGCCUGAUUCACAUUAUAUUUCUGGAGUCUAAUAAUUAUGUUUUGUUUUUUUACUUGUACGAAUUGAUCGGUCAUUUUCCAUGGGCCACGGUCGGUUGCAGAUAGACACUUUAUUUUUGGUGGGUUCUUCCACUCUUGUCAAUCCUGACCACACAAAUAACACAA